CCUACGGGGGGCUGCAGUGAGGCAUAUUGGUCAAUGGGCUUACGCCUGAACCAGCCAAGUCGCGUGAGGGAAGACUGCCCUAUGGGUUGUAAACCUCUUUUGUCAGGGAGCAACGCCGGCUACGGGUAGCCGGACUGAGAGUAUCGGAAGAAAAAGCAUCGGAUAAUCCCGUCCCAGCAGCCCCGGUAAUAAGAAGGAUCCGAGGGUUAUAAGGAUUGAUUGGUUUUAAAGGGAGCGUAGAUGGGUUGUUAAGUCAGUUGUGAAAGUUUGCGGCUCAACCGUAAAAUUGAAUUUGAUACUGGCAGUCUUGAGUACAGUUGAGGUAGGCGGAAUUCGUGGUGUAGCGGUGAAAUGCUUAGAUAUCACGAAGAACCCCGAUUGCGAAGGCAGCUUACUAAACUGUGACUGACAUUGAUGCUCGAAAGUGUGGGUAUCAAACAGGAUUAGAUACCCGAGUAGUC
rnacentral:rRNA from 1 species